CCUACGGGAGGCUGCAGUGAGGAAUAUUGGUCAAUGGGCGGGAGCCUGAACCAGCCAAGCCGCGUGAGGGAAGAAGGUACAGCGUAUCGUACACCUCUUUUGUCAGGGAACAAAGGCGGGGACUAGUCCCCGGAUGAGGGUACCUGAAGAAAAAGCAUCGGCUAACUCCGUGCCAGCAGCCGCGGUAAUACGGAGGAUGCGAGCGUUAUCCGGUGUUAUUGGGGUUAAAGGGUGCGCAGGCGGCCUGUUAAGUCUGCGGUAAAAGCCCGGGGCUCAACCCCGGCGAGCCGUUGAAACUGGCGGGCUAGAGUUGGAGAGAAGUACGCGGAAUGCGCGGUGUAGCGGUGAAAUGCUUAGAUAUCGCGCAGAACCCCGAUUGCGAAGGCAGCGUACCGGCUCCACACUGACGCUGAGGCACGAAAGCGUGGGUAUCGAACAGGAUUAGAUACCCGAGUAGUC
rnacentral:rRNA from 1 species